GAUGAACGCUGGCGGCGUGCUUAACACAUGCAAGUCGAACGGAAAGGCCGAAGCUUGCUUCGGUACUCGAGUGGCGAACGGGUGAGUAACACGUGGGUGAUCUGCCCUGUACUUCGGGAUAAGCUUGGGAAACUGGGUCUAAUACCGGAUAUGACGAUCUCUUGGAUGGGGUUGUGGAAAGCUUUUGCGGUAUGGGAUGAGCUCGCGGCCUAUCAGCUUGUUGGUGGGGUAAUGGCCUACCAAGGCGUCGACGGGUAGCCGGCCUGAGAGGGUGUACGGCCACAUUGGGACUGAGAUACGGCCCAGACUCCUACGGGAGGCAGUAGUGGGGAAUAUUGCACAAUGAGCGCACGCCUGAUGCAGCGACGCCGCGUGGGGGAUGACGGCCUUCGGGUUGUAAACUCCUUUCGCAAUCGACGAAGCCUUUUGGUGACGGUAGGUUGAGAAGAAGCACCGGCUAACUACGUG
rnacentral:rRNA from 1 species